UCCGAUUUUGGCAUGGUUUUGGUUGAGAAACCAGAAGAAACGUGAAAGAACUGUCAUCAAAAGUGCAAUGAGCACAAUGAGCAAAAUGAUCACAGAGUUUGGUGUUAGAGGUUGUUGCAAUUUUCUUCUCAUUCCAUUAUUCCUGAAAUAAAACAGAUGUAAACAGUUCAAAGAGAACUGUAAUAUUCAUUGGCUCUAGAAGUGUCAACAGUAGAAAUAUAUCAUAUAUCAUAACAAAGCAUAAGAACAUUUUGCUACGUCAGGUUAGCCUGCUUUCGGAACCCUUUUUGUGCUUUACGGACCUCUCUUGUACGAAGAUUCCACCUUCUCGUUACAAAAUGCAGCCUCAUAAUUAAAUAGUGCUUGGUUUGAUCUUCAGAAGUGGUAUACAGGUAUAUUUCAAAUGAGCAUGAGGAAACAUUCUUCUCUGAUCUAAUUAUCUACUUAUAUAUUUAUGUAUUUAUUUCCCACAUCUCUUUCUCUAUCUAGAUUCAUCUACAUAUCGAUCCUUGGAUUUUAUUUGCAGUGACUGGAUGUGUCCCCAUGCCCCACGACUAAGAUGACCAAAACUAAGUACUGUUACCCCACUAUAACCAUUGUCCAAGUCAUACCUCAUUUGGUGCCUGAAAAAACCUAGGUUUAGGCAAACCAUUCGCCUCUAAAUACUUUUGGUACUUCACACUUCCUGACCUACAGCCAGGGACAGAACAAGUAGGCAUGGUGGAGUUCCCCGUUGCAUUUACCUAUACAUAAAUUUAGAGAGUUGAAACUAAGUCAUUGUGAGUACAUAAGUACCUAUGUAUCUAAAUUCAAGGAUGAAAUCUAUUAAUUAA